rnacentral:rRNA from 1 species
GCGCAGCAGGCGCGAAUUUUUCUCAAUGGGGGAAACCCUGAAGGAGCGACGCCGCGUGAAGGAUGAAGGUCUUCGGAUUGUAAACUUCUGUCAUUAGGGAACAAAUCUUCCAAGUAACUACUGGAAGUCUGAUAGUACCUGAAGAGGAAGAGACGGCUAACUCUGUGCCAGCAGCCGCGGUAAUACAGAGGUCUCAACCGUUGUUCGGAUUCAUUGGGCGUAAAGGGUGCGUAGGCGGCGGAGUAAGUCAGGUGUGAAAUCUCGGGGCUCAACCCCGAAACUGCACUUGAUACUGCUUCGCUUGAGUACUGGAGAGGAGACUGGAAUUUACGGUGUAGCAGUGAAAUGCGUAGAUAUCGUAAGGAAGACCAGUGGCGAAGGCGAGUCUCUGGACAGUUACUGACGCUGAGGCACGAAGGCCAGGGGAGCAAACGGGAUUAGAUACCCCCGUA